rnacentral:lncRNA from 1 species
CGGAGCUUGCCUGCAGAUCAGCUGCCUGGAGCCUACUUGCUUCGGUACCUUUAGGAGCCCUCUGAUUGCCCUGUCUACCCUUUGCACUUGCUGGACUUGAGAUCUGACCCCACACCUGCCUGUUGCCUUGGGAGUGCCCAGCUCCCCCCACAGCCAGCAAGAUGCCCAUUCUCAAACAGCUGGUGUCCGGCUCUGUGAACUCAAAGCGACGCUCACGCGCGGACCUCACAGCGGAGAUGAUCAGUGCCCCACUGGGUGACUUCCGCCACACCAUGCAUGUGGGCCGGGGUGGGGAUGCCUUUGGGGACACCUCCUUCCUCACUAGCAAGACGGGCGAACCUGAUGGC